GACGAACGCUGGCGGCGUGCUUAACACAUGCAAGUCGAGCGGUAAGGCCCUUUCGGGGGUACGACGAGCGGCGAACGGGUGAGUAACACGUGGGUGACCUGCCUUUAGCUCUGGGAUAAGCCUGGGAAACCGGGUCUAAUACCGGAUAUGACUCCGCGGCGCAUGUUGUGGGGUGGAAAGCCUUGUGCGGCUGGAGAUGGGCCCGCGGCCUAUCAGCUUGUUGGUGGGGUGAUGGCCUACCAAGGCGACGACGGGUAGCCGGCCUGAGAGGGCGACCGGCCACACUGGGACUGAGACACGGCCCAGACUCCUACGGGAGGCAGCAGUGGGGAAUCUUGCGCAAUGGGCGAAAGCCUGACGCAGCGACGCCGCGUGAGGGAUGA
rnacentral:rRNA from 1 species